GUCCAGGGGCGGGAAUCGAACCCACAAUGUUCCGCUUACCGGGCAGAUGCCAUGUCCACUAGGCUACCCUGGA